rnacentral:lncRNA from 13 species
UUAAAGAUUUCAGAAGAGAGGAGCCGCAACAAAAUUCUUUACUGUGGCCUCAUGAGACAUGUCAUCAGAAUCACUCACAUAAUCAGCUCCUCAAUUCCUGAUACACAAAAAUUCUCCUUGCUGCCACCACAUGAAGGACGUGUUCACUUUCACUUCUUCCAUGAUUGUAAGUCUCUUGAGGCCUCUCCAGCCAUGUGGUACUGAUAAUGCUUUUUAACCAAUUGGAUGGUGAUUUUUCCAAAGACUACCCAUGGACCAAUCAGCACACAUUCUCCCGUUGUGAGCCGAAACAA